GGUAUAAGAGAACACAAUCCUCAUCUUCCAUAUAGGAUCCAAAAACCUAAAACUGAAAGACCAAGAAAUAGCAGUGUAAUCCUGCUGCUUAGAAAUAAGGGCACAGGGGGAAACAGGAGAAGCAGAGAAGAGAGUUGAAAGCAGUUCAUUCCAGAAAGCAGGAAUUCAAAAAAGGGGGGAAAGGAUUGCAAUUUCGUCAUUGUGGACUUAGUGAUACUAUUGAAUUUAAAAAAAAAAAAAACUAUACCGAUGCAUUAGUGUGAUUUUUUUUUUUUAGGAAUAAAUAGUUCUUGAAAUAGGGUAGAUAGUGAUGCUGGAGCUUCCUCAAAACAGCCAGCCUUUCCAGAGACGUUCCCGGGGGCAGCUCUCCAACCUGCUCUUCCUUCACUUCAGCCCUCAUUACCUGACUCGGCCCCGACCGCCUGCUCCUGUCCACCUCCGUGUGGUAAGCUUCUCCACCUGGCCCUCGCAAUCAACCCCGUCCAUUCCCUGUCUCUCUUGACUUUCUCUUCUGCUUUAGCAUCCUAGACGUGAGCCAGGACCAGCUUGCAUCUAAAUCUGUCAGCCUCAGCCAAUUAGUCUGCUCCAGUCUGGUUCUCUUGCCUGCCCCAUGAGCCUUUCCUCAGGGUACAGGGUCAGGUGAUCUCGCUGGCUGCACGCCUACUGAAGAGACUGGAAGCAGGGCUGACGUGGGCAGGAGGCCAGAUGAGAGAAGCUGGAAGCUGGUUUGAGGAGCCACUGAUAGAGACGACAUGGAUGGAUUCCAGAGAUAAUCAGAAGGUAAAAGGAUGACCCGUCUCUCGAGCGCUGGACAGUUCCCAAAGCACUUUUGCAUCUAUGUCCUUCGAGAUUCGUCUUCCUCAACAGCCCAUGACAGAUGCUGAGUAGACAGAAUUCUCUCAGUAAAGGUGAUGAAACUGAGGAUAGGAGCGGUGAGGUCCAUUGCCCAAAUUCACACAGCUGACUGGGACAGGCUUGGAACUCACAUCCAGAUCCCCGGACGUCACAUCCAGGGCUCUUUCCAGUCUGGUGUCCAGGGACUCACCCUGCAGCUGACGGGGAGGCGGGCGUUAAGCUGAGGAGCCCUGACUCUGCUACCUGCCUGAGGCUAUUUGCACAGUUCCCAUUGAUUUGUCGUAACCUGUAAUUAUUUUUGCUGAAUUUUUUUCACGCUCCAUUUGCUCUUUACUCUGCAGCAGACAAGUGACAGGAAAAAGGGCCUGGAGCUGAGUGAGAGCAGGAGACCCUUUGGUCCUGGGAUGGAAGGGUAGGGGUUCCAGAUGCCGGUUUUCUGGCUUGUUGCCCCUCAUCUUCCGUUGGCCCUUUACGGGGCUCGCUUCCUCCCCACAGCAGGGAGGCAGACCUGGAGCCACGCCUCCUCCCAGGGCUCUCUGGGCUGCCUCUGGGCAGGGCCACCGGCCCCUCGCCCCUGCUGCUGCGGCAGAACCCUUCAAUUGACCUCUCAGAAGGGAAAAGAAACAGAGCAGACUAGAAGGAUGGAUUGUUAAUUUUCUAAAUUAACUCAGAGAGUUAAUAUUAACUCAGAGAAUUCACUUAGGCUCUGCGAUGCCGCCUCCUGAGUGGGCAGGGCAUUCUGUUCCCC
ensembl:lncRNA